UUUACCCAAAUAUAAGAGCUGAAGAGAAUAACUCAAAUUGAUCAGAAGAAAAUACUCAAUUACUGACAAAUGUCAAUUACAUCAAUAGGAGGAGAAAAUGUGUAAUUGUAAGCAGCUGAACUAAAAUAUCUCUGUGACAUUUUGCUGGUGACUCCAGCCCUGUGAGAUCUGAGUGGCUCAGGAAUCAAAUUCUCCCACAAAGCUGAGGAAGCCUUUUAUUCUUAAUGCCAACAGGAUGCCUCAUGCCCAGAAUGUCAAAUCUGAACACCGACGGAAUGCAUUUUAUAAACAAAUUGAAGAAGCACAAUCUUUAACAGAAUUGUUGUUCUCUAGGCAGAUUAGUUUGGCUUCAAAUACAAAAUGCAAUAUUAGAGAGCAAAAUUAUUUUUAAACAGCUAAUACUAGUAGAAAAUAAAAGGCUGAAAAGUGCUAUAA